rnacentral:lncRNA from 1 species
UGAGCGCUGAUUGGCUCCGGCUUGGGAAGCGGCAGAAAAGGCCGGCGUGUGGGGCGGGCCUGGGGAAGGGACUCCCGCGGCCCUAAGGUGCUGGCGGGCGUUUGGCGUUGCAGCUGUGUGGGCGCUGGUGCGUGCGAGUAGCGCUCGAAGAAACCCAAAGGCGUCGUGGGGCUGCCGUGUGCCCCAGAGAGCACUGCAGGCCGGGUAGGGGCUAAGGCUCCCCGCAGUCUUCUGUGUGUCGUCCAGUACGCAGUUGAAAUCGUUCUCCAACCUGGCCAGUCCUCCGAGGCCCUUCUCAGGCGACCAGACUCUGUUAACAGAGUCCAUUGCUAAAACUCCUCGUUAGUAUUUACCACUCCUCCAGUCUGUGUUUUGAAGCAGUGGUUUUCAACCACUGCCCGUUUUCAGAAGAAAUCAUCUCAAGCGUCCGUGUGCUGCUAGAAGCCGGGCCGGGAGGUCUUGGUGCCGGACUCCACCCUGCAGCCCUUCCCUUUCGCCACCGCCCUGUGCUUAGAGAAACCUUAGAGUGGAGCAAUGAGUCGCCCUUGACUGAGUAACUCUUCGGGGUCAACUUCUCCUUCCACGCCAAGGAAAGGAUUCCAGGGCGAUGUUUCUGGAAAUAGAGAUCUGACCAAGCCACUGCUCUGGUGAAAAUUCAGUGGGUCCCUAGCACCUAGUGCAGCGGCUCCUAGCCUGAGUAUUGCCGUCUUUCGGUGGGGAGGGGUUGGGUUUUUUUGUAGCAUCUGUUGAUCUGAUCUCCAACAUCCUCCACGUCAAUUCCCACUCCACCCACAUCCCUUAUCCUAUACGUAAGCUUUCCAGCCACGGUGCUGGCUUGGGUGGGGGUGCGUGCGGUGCUGACACCAAAAUGGAGGUCCCGUGUUUCUGAGAGUCUCUUUCAGAGCAAUGCAAACCUGAAACUACUCCUGCCAAGAAACGAUUGCAGCUCUUCCCGGAAAAGUUAAAGCCUUUGAGAAACAAAGCUGAGGGCCUAGGGGAUGCCAAAUUCCAGGGUCCAGAAAGAGCUUGGGAUAAAAUGAACAUCCAAGGGGAGGGCUUUGACCUGGGCUGAGUCUGCCUGUGCCGAGUCUGCCUGUGCCAUCCAACUGGAGUCUCAAGUCCUGAGGCAGGACGUCCAGAUGCCCCAGUGCAGGGUCCUCCUGAUCAACACCUGCUCCCCUGUACUCAUUAGCAACCUCACCCACCCUACUCUCAAAGCACACUUGGCUCUCAUAUCCAGGAGCUCUGCAUCUGUAGAUUCAGCAACAGCAGAUGGAAAAUAUUCAGAAAAUAAAUUGGACAGUUAUAUUUCUAUUGAA